GAAAGUUUGUUGGGGUUUUUCU
rnacentral:miRNA from 1 species